UUUUUUGAAAUGUUGAAAAAAUAUGCCUAAAUUUUUUUACCAUGUAAAAGUAACCGGGGUGGAUGUACUUGCGUUUGCUGAAUGCCAUAYGCUAAAUUUUUUUACCAUGUAAAAUUGGUGAAACAAUACUGUAAAUUUUUUUACCAUGUAAAAUUUGCUGGUGUGGACUUAGAGAAAUUUUAUACUKUWWWUUUUUUUUUUUUUUUAAUGAACUUCAGGGCUAGUUUCUAGUGUGUUAGCCAAGGACCAUAUUUUUGUGUUACACUUUCAGCU
rnacentral:misc_RNA from 1 species